GUCAACUUAGCUCAGUGGUAGAGCAGGUCUGUACCAGGACUAUGGGACUAUGACAUGGGUUCAACUCCCAUAGUUGUCA
rnacentral:tRNA from 1 species